GGUGUGCAACAACCUUUACACACCAUUCUUCAAGCGCUCCAGAGUCAAUCAAUUCUCGAGUGGAUCUGUGGCUGUUAAUAUGACUCUCGUAUUCCAAAACGCAUCCUCAGUGCCUCUGUCAGCUUUUGCCACUGAACAGUUAGCCAAAGCACUUAACGGCACAAGCUUGAAUGUUAUACCAGGCAGCGUUGUUGCAGAGUCAUCAGCAAGUGGUCUUCCUCUACCCAGA